UACAGGGGGGCAAGCGUUGUUCGGAAUUACUGGGCGUAAAGGGCCAGUAGGCGGCCAACUAAGUCCGACGUGAAAUCCCCAAGCUUAACUUGGGAACUGCGUCGGAUACUGGAUGGCUUGAAUUCGGGAGAGGGAUGCAGAAUUCAGGUGUAGCGGUGAAAUGCGUAGAUAUCUGGAGGAACACCGGUGGCGAAGGCGGCAUCUG
rnacentral:rRNA from 1 species